CAAUAGCGUAUAUUAAAGUUGUUGCAGUUAAAAAGCUCGUAGUUGGAUUUGUGGCGUACGGUGUGUUCCGGGCACUUGUUGUCUGAGUAACCUGCUGUUGCCAUCCUUGGGUGGAACCUGUGUGGCAUUAGGUUGUCGUGCAGGGGAUGUCCAUCAUUUACUGUGAAAAAAUUAGAGUGUUCAAAGCAGGCUUAUGCCGUUGAAUAUAUUAGCAUGGAAUAAUGAGAUAGGACUUUUUUGCUAUUUUGUUGGUUUGCGCAAGAAGGUAAUGAUUAAUAGGGACAGUUGGGGGUAUUCGUAUUCCAUUGUCAGAGGUGAAAUUCUUGGAUUUUUGGAAGACGAACUACUGCGAAAGCAUUUACCAAGGAUGUUUUCAUUAA
rnacentral:rRNA from 1 species